rnacentral:antisense_RNA from 1 species
UUGACGGUGUAGUCCCACUCGGCCUGCGGCCCGGCCAGCACCUGGUCGCCGAAGUAGUCGCCGUUGGCCAGCACGUCGAGCACGGUCUGGUCGCCGUACUCGCUCUGGCCGAUCUUGUUGACCUUGCCGUGCGCGAUCAGGAACACCUGGUCCUGCGCGCCGCCGGUCUCCACGAUGACGUCGCCCGGACCGUACUCGACCUGCCGGAACCGGCCGGCGAGCGCGGCCAGCGCCUCGACGUCGUCGUAGCCGCGCAGCAGUGGGAGCUCGGUCAGCUCCAGCGGGAUGACCUGCACCUCCGCGCCGGUGUUGGUGAACGUCAGCCGGCCGUCGCCGACGGCGUAGCUGAGCCGGCGGUUGACGCGGUAGGCGCCACCGGCGGCUUGCACCCAGGGCAGCACCUUGAGCAGCCACCGCGAGGUGAUGCCCUGCAUCUGCGGGACGGACUUGGUCGUCGUGGCCAGGUUCCGCGCCGCCGCUGUGCCGAGGCUCAGCCGGGGCCGAUCGG